CCCGACUCCGUGAAGCUGGAUUCGCUAGUAAUCGCGCAUCAGCCAUGGCGCGGUGAAUACGUUCCCGGGCCUUGUACACACCGCCCGUCAAGCCAUGGAAGCCGGGGGUGCCUGAAGUGUGCAGCCGCAAGGAGCGCCCUAAGGUAAAACCGGUGACUGGGGCUAAGUCGUAACAAGGUAGC
rnacentral:rRNA from 1 species